AUUUAAAUAGCUUAAGUUUAGAGUAUAAUAUUGAAGAUAUUAGGGUGAUUAAUUAAUCUUUAGAUA
rnacentral:tRNA from 7 species